UUUUUUUUUCCCGCAUUUUCUCAGCAGCCAAGCAGAGUGUGGGGUUUAAGAGAUUAUCGACUUGGAUUGUGCUGCUAGUUGCUGCACAUUUUCUGGGUUUCAAGUGGUUCCAACUGGGUUUGGAUUUGUAUCUCUCCGUUUAUCACUUAGUUUGGCUGCUGAGAAAAUGUAGGAAAAAGAAA